CUAAGUGGCUGUACCCAACUGUAAGUUUUCAUGAUUGAGAAGCACAAUGACCUUUGGCUUUGAAUGGGUUGCUUUUGUGCUAUUAGUUUCAAAUUUUGUAGGGUAUAUAUAGAACUAAUGGGUAAGUUUUUCUAAUUUGAGAAGCACAACUGUAAAUUUUCUGCAAGAAUUAGAGUUUUUCUAAAUCACCGUGGUUAACUGUUGUUCCUUCAGGAGGAACACAAGGCAAGAUUGGUCCAGGAAACAGGGUUGCAAUUGAAACAGAUAAAUAAUUGGUUCAUUACUCAGAGGAAAAGGAAUUGGCACAUCAAUUCUUCCAGUUCUACAGUCUUGAAGAGAAAGCGCAAAAGGUUAAUUUCAAGCCAAAGGUUCCAACCAAAACUGUAUGUGCAGAGUAUCUUGAGUUGAGAAAAGAAAUAUUGACUUUAUUGAAUCUUUAGUAAUAGGUAUCAUGGUUCCUGGAAUCAAGACGGGGCGGCAGAAGAGAGCAACAAGUGGCAACGUAUUAUCAGCCUCUGAAGCAUGUCCACAGGAGAUUGGCACCCCGCUGACGUUCUCUGAUGAGACGCAACCACCAGAUGAUACACAAACAGUGGUAGACGAGACGCAACCAGGUUG